rnacentral:rRNA from 1 species
GACGAAGGGUGCAAGCGUUAUCCGGAUUCAUUGGGUUUAAAGGGCGCGUAGGUGGCCUUAUAAGUCAGUGGUGAAAUCUCUCGGCUUAACCGAGAAAUUGCCAUUGAUACUGUAGGGCUUGAGUAUAGUUGCCGUUGGCGGAAUAUGACAUGUAGUGGUGAAAUACAUAGAGAUGGCAUAGAACACCGAUUGCGAAGGCAGCUGACGAAACUAUAACUGACACUGAGGCUCGAAAGUGCGGGGAGCAAACAGG